GUGGACUAUAAAAACGUCUUGUGGUGCUCACCUGACUCAGAUGUUGUGCUUUGACCAUCCUGAUGUUUGCUCUGUGGACUUCCGCAAAAAUGUCCCUACGGUGUCUCACACUGUUCCUGCUCUUCGCUCUUGUCACAGUGUGUCUGGCAGCUCCACUGCCUGACAGAAGCGCAGUGCUGCUUGCUCAUCUUGAUGGAAAAGCGGCAGCACAACAUGUGACAUCACCGCCAGCUCCUGAGUCACAUGACACGUCACAUUCCCCAGAUUUUGACGACUCCCAAGAGGAAACCGAAGCAAAACCAAACGUUCAGGACAACAACCAAGCAGAACUUGAAGGUGCACCUGACCCUACGGAUUCAGUUCCAGAAUAUGUAGAAUCACCAGAGUCUGUGGCAUCACCAGAAUCCUUGGAAUCACCAGAGUCUGCAGAAUCACCAGCGUCCUUGAAUUCACCAGAGUCUGUAGACUCAUCAGAGUCCUUGGAAUCACCAGAGUCUGUAGAAUCACCAAAGUCUGUGGAAUCGCCAGAGUCAGAGGAAUCACCAGAGUCUGUAGAAUCACCAAAGUCUGCGGACUCACCAGAGUCCGAGGAAUCACCAGAGUUUGUGAAAACAUCAGAGUCCCCAGAAUCACUAGAGUCUGCAGAAUCCCCAGAGUCCUCAGAGUCCUUAGAGUCACAAGAUUCCGCAGAAUCACCAAAGGCUAUAGACUCCAGAAUCAUCCCAGAAUCAUCCGAGUCACUGGAAUUGCCUAAAUCCCUAGUGUUACCAUCAGAGUCGAGUUCUGAGGCGGAUGAGGACAACAGGGAGACGAGCAACGAAUCGGAGCCUGAGACUGAUGCAACCACAUCUGACAUGGCUGAUAACGGUGAUGCGAGUGACAUGCUUGAUUUAGAGGAGGGUGGAGAGGUGGGGCUUGAGGUGGUAGAUGAGGAUGAGAUACAGGUGGAAGAAGGAAGAGCGAUACCAGAACUAGAUUUGUCUGAGGAGCCACAGCUGAUGCAAGGGGCCUCAGAUGUGAUCAUAGAAGGAGAAGAAAACUCUCCAAAGGAUGGAAAUGCUGACAGCAGCAGAGGCACCAUGGACCAGGAAGAGAAUAUGGAGGAGCAGAAUGUUCAAGAACCUGAAGAGAGCUUUGACUCCACUGAAGCAACUCUUAUUGAGCAGGCAGACCCAACCCCCCCUCUGCCGGCGCAAAUGAAGUGAAGUAGAAGUUGGUAGUGUGGUUAAGCAGGUAAUGUUCCACGUUCCAUGUUCCGGGUGAAUACGCAAGCAUGGGACAGCCCGAGUGGAAUCCCUGCCAACUGCACUGUCUUUCUGCAUGCUUUUAUUUGCUGUGUUUGAUGACGCUGCAUGUACAUACAGUAUAUUCCCUGCUACUGCUCCUAGUCAAAGUCAUGUAGGCAGAGAAACUGAUCACCUAAUAAACGUUCAUUCCACAA